rnacentral:ncRNA from 1 species
UAUGCUCACAAGAGGUGCUUUAGCUGAGAUAGGGAAACCUGGACUCUUUGAACCUGAUAAAGUUAAAACUUGCGUAGGGAUGUGAGGAAAGACCAUA